rnacentral:ncRNA from 2 species
CGUUACUUGUCGGAGUGCCCUUUGGGCUGAGAUCGCAUUCGUGCGGGAUCCGUGAACCUGAUCAGGCUAACACCUGCGUAGGGAACAAGCUGCCUGUAUUA